rnacentral:rRNA from 1 species
GCGUUGUCCGGAAUUACUGGGCGUAAAGAGCUCGUAGGUGGUUUGUCGCGUCGUCUGUGAAAUCCCGGGGCUUAACUUCGGGCGUGCAUGCGAUACGGGCAUAACUUGAGUGCUGUAGGGGAGACUGGAAUUCCUGGUGUAGCGGUGAAAUGCGCAGAUAUCAGGAGGAACACCAAUGGCGAAGGCAGGUCUCUGGGCAGUAACUGACGCUGACGAGCNAAAGCAUGGGUAGCGAACAGGAUUAAUAUACCCUGGUAGUCCAUGCCGUAAACGGUGGGCGCUAUGUGUAGGGGUCUUCCACGACUUCUGUGCCCCAACUAACGCAUUAAGCGCCCCGCCUGGGGAGUACCGCCGCA